rnacentral:rRNA from 1 species
GAUGAACGCUGGCGGCGUGCCUAAUACAUGCAAGUCGAGCGAACAGAUGAGGAGCUUGCUCCUCUGACGUUAGCGGCGGACGGGUGAGUAACACGUGGAUAACCUACCUAUAAGACUGGGAUAACUUCGGGAAACCGGAGCUAAUACCGGAUAAUAUAUUUAACCGCAUGGUUCAAUAGUGAAAGACGGUUUUGCUGUCACUUAUAGAUGGAUCCGCGCCGCAUUAGCUAGUUGGUAAGGUAACGGCUUACCAAGGCAACGAUGCGUAGCCGACCUGAGAGGGUGAGCGGCCACACUGGAACUGAGACACGGUCCAGACUCCUACGGGAGGCAGCAGUAGGGAAUCUUCCGCAAUGGGCGAAAGCCUGACGGAGCAACGCCGCGUGGGUGAUGAAGGUCUUCGGAUCGUAAAACUCUGUUAUUAGGGAAGAACAAAUGUGUAAGUAACUAUGCACGUCUUGACGGUACCUAAUCAGAAAGCCACGGCUAACUACGUG